rnacentral:rRNA from 1 species
UACGUAGGGGGCAAGCGUUGUCCGGAAUCAUUGGGCGUAAAGCGCGUGUAGGCGGCUUGGUAAGUCCGCUCUGAAAGCCCGGGGCUCAACCCCGGGAGGCGGAUGGAUACUGUCAAGCUUGAGUCCGGAAGAGGCGAGUGGAAUUCCCGGUGUAGCGGUGAAAUGCGCAGAUAUCGGGAGGAACACCAAUGGCGAAGGCAGCUCGC